UUUUACCACCUGGAAAAAUUUGCCCUGCCAAUCAGUGGAUGGCAGACAGAUUGUUUGAGUUUGCCUAGAGAUGUUUUAGAUAAGGGGGGAGUCGGCGCAAUAAAUGGGUUAAUGUCAGCCUGCAAAUUCCAUAACGUGGCCAAGACUCCAGGUGUUUAUCGCUAUAAGUUAGUAAUGGAGUUAACCACAAGAAGCAAACUGAAAGAAGAAGGAAUUGGGGGGAAAUUGUGAGUUCGAUAACUCAGAAGUCCUCCUGGCAAGACUCCUCUGGGAAUAGCAUGCUCUAAACUUAAGAGGCCUUGUCUCUACUUUCUAAUCAAGUUGGAUGAAAUCGGGAUUUCAGCAUGCCGAGGUUUCCAUUCUUUUAGGUCUUCGGAUCCCUUCUAUGUAGUCAUGGCUGUUCUGGAACUUGCUAUGCAGACCAAGCUGCCCUCAAUGAACAGAGAUCCUUCUGUCUCUGCCUCCCAAGUGCUGGGAUUAAAGGCAUGUGUCACCAUACUUGGCCUAGAAGUUAACUUUUGGUUCAAUUUCUUUGAAUAAAAACCUUGUCUAAUGUCAUGUAUAAA